rnacentral:rRNA from 1 species
GACGAACGCUGGCGGCGUGCCUAAUACAUGCAAGUAGAACGCUGAAAGAAGAGCUUGCUCUUCUGGAUGAGUUGCGGACGGGUGAGUAACGCGUAGGUAACCUGCCUGGUAGCGGGGGAUAACUAUUGGAAACGAUAGCUAAUACCGCAUAAUAGCAGUUGUUGCAUGACAACUGUUUGAAAGGUGCAAUUGCAUCACUACCAGAUGGACCUGCGUUGUAUUAGCUAGUUGGUGGGGUAACGGCUCACCAAGGCGACGAUACAUAGCCGACCUGAGAGGGUGAUCGGCCACACUGGGACUGAGACACGGCCCAGACUCCUACGGGAGGCAGCAGUAGGGAAUCUUCGGCAAUGGACGGAAGUCUGACCGAGCAACGCCGCGUGAGUGAAGAAGGUUUUCGGAUCGUAAAGCUCUGUUGUAAGAGAAGAACGAGUAUGAGAGUGGAAAGUUCAUACUGUGACGGUAUCUUACCAGAAAGGGACGGCUAACUACGUGCCAGCAGCCGCGGUAAUACGUAGGUCCCGAGCGUUGUCCGGAUUUAUUGGGCGUAAAGCGAGCGCAGGCGGUUAGAUAAGUCUGAAGUUAAAGGCUGUGGCUUAACCAUAGUACGCUUUGGAAACUGUUUAACUUGAGUGCAAGAGGGGAGAGUGGAAUUCCAUGUGUAGCGGUGAAAUGCGUAGAUAUAUGGAGGAACACCGGUGGCGAAAGCGGCUCUCUGGCUUGUAACUGACGCUGAGGCUCGAAAGCGUGGGGAGCAAACAGG